CCCACCGACGCUCCUUUCUUCCACUUCCUUCCCUUAUCCUCCUCUCUUUCUUCCUGGUGUUCUUCAUCUCUUCUCUUUCCAAGUCAAAAAAUAACCCAUUUGUACACCAAACUGAGCCAAUUUUUCCCUGAUUUUCCACCGUAGAUACGUUGUAGAUAGUUGGGGGAGGCAAGGGAGACCUCGAUCUAGUGAUGGGGUAGCUCGUGGUGGUCGUGGUGAGCAUUUUGGUGGAGGUGGUGGUGAACAUUUUGGUGGAGGUGGAGAUGAACUAGUGAAGCUGCGGCAUUGUGGUGGAGGUUAAGCUCCGGCUCCGGUGAUUGAAGGCCGCCAUUCGUCGUCGUUGCUUCGCACGCUUCAAGGGAAUGGCGGGAAUGGGGUUGCUUAGUGCGUACAUUGAUAGAAAGCAUCGUGCUGCGAUAGGUUCUGAGCGCAAGCUUGAUGCGCUGGUCACUCGCACUCAAAAGGAAGACUGGAAAAUACACGAGGGAUGGGUUCAGCGGUUGAAAUGGGUUGGCCUUUUACCUUUCGCGCGUCUGGUUGAGUCCACGGAGACCUCCAAACGCCUCGCCAUCGACGCCUCUUUGCUCACAUGCUUAGUGGACCAGUGGAGACCUGAGACCCACACGUUUCACUUCCGCUGGGGAGAGAUGGCUCCUACUCUCCAGGAUGUGUCCCUUUUAUUGGGACUACCAUUGGCAGGUCAUGCCAUAGGACUGUUGGAGGCACCGGUUGAUUGGCAGCUUGGUAUUGCACAACGUUUCACGGGUAUUUAUGACCGUGCUCCGGCGCUGACAUCGGAUAAUCAUGGACCUAAGUAUGAAUGGUUACUCCAUUUCCAGAUCCAGAAGUUUCCGGGGUAUCCAAGGGUCCCGUUGAAUGCGACACAGAUCACUCGUAGUCUGGAGGCAUAUAUACAGUGGCUUCUCGGCAAGGUGAUGUUCACAUAGAACCAUGUCAGCACUAUUAGCGCGAGCUACAUCCCUAUUGCACUGGAGAUCGCGAGCGCUGAGACGCCGAAUCAGAUCACCCAAAGGAGUUGGGGUUCGGCUGUCUUAGCGUAUACAUACCAAGCUAUGUGCAAUGCCUGCCAGCUUACGUCACCCACGUCAGCCCUUCUUGGAUGCCCUCUAUUUCUGCAACUGUGGUCGUGGGAGAGGUUCUCCAUAGGACGACCGGACGUACAUGUUGACGAGCCUAUGGAUAUCAUGUUUGAUGUUGAAGGCAUCGACAUGCCUACCUUCAGUCUGAGUUGGACAUGUCGCAGCAGAUGCUUUGCUGGUGAUCAGACCAGACGAGCUUACACGGCACUAAACGAGCAGUUUGAUGCGUACAGUGGGGUGAUCUGGCAGCCGUACACGCAAGAAGCCAUAGAUGCAAGAUACCCCGGCAGUUUGUCCGUGCUGUGCACAAGAGACGCCGAUUAUUGGAAGACGAAAUCGAAGAUCAUCUUCGAUGUCUUCGUCGAGGAGAUGGCCUAGCAUAGGGUUAUGAGGCAAUUUGGUCUUCUGCAAUUGGAGACACCUCCCCCUACAGAGGCCCCGCUUCACGGAGACAUCCACAGGAUCACAAAGAAGGGGAUUAACAGGACUGCAACUGAGUGGCUAGUUAGGGUUCAGCCGUACGUUAAAUAAUGGGAGACUGCGAACACACAUCUGUGGCACGAGAAUCACAGCUUUGAUAUGGAGGAAUUCAAUCUCUAUCUGCAGCGGUACAUGACCGGAACACGGUUGUGCAUCGUUCAUCACAAUCACCCAGAUGAGAUACAUGCCCCUAAUACAUCGGAUAUGUACCCGAGCUAUGAUACUUCGGGCUCUAGGCAGCACGCGGCUGAGUUGACUCACCAACUUGGCGAUGAGGUGUCCAACUAUCAGCGUUCACUGUCGUCUGCACCUCUAAUGCUUCCUCAGACUCAGGUCCAGACCUGGAUGACGCGCAUUGAGGGGAAACUACGAUCUGUGUAUCGAGCUAUUACGUGCACACGCACUUCGGACGUUCUUCACCAGCAUUGUCGUGGUUUUGUCACGGCAGAUGUCCUAAGGAAAGGACUUAGUCGUGGAGCCAUCGCUACGAGUUAGCUUAAAGGGGUUAAAGCAGACAAGGGACGCAAAGAGUUUUAAACUAGU